AGUUAUACUUUUCAGGGCAGUGAAGGUGACUGUUUUUAUGUUGUUGGUAGUGGAGAAUUUGAAGUCUUGGCAACUCAGGAAGAAAAAGAUGGGGAAGUAACCAAGGUUUUACAGCAUUACACAUCGGAAAAACUAUCAUGCUUUGGAGAGCUUGCUCUAAUGUCAUUCAAGUUUACUCAAGUUCACAUAUUCGUUGAGGACUAUAAUCC